UUUUUGUUAUUUUUGUGCUGUUUAGGGCUAUAUAGGUUUAGUGAUAGGCUUAGUGCUAGGUUUAGUCACUUAGUCAUAAUUAAAAUAUCUAGAAAGAGAUGAACAAUCAAAGAAGAAUAAGUAGAUAAGGGAAGAAGAAGAAGAAGAAGAAGAGGAGGAGGAGGAGNAGGAGGAGGAGGAGAAGGAGGGGAAGAAGAAGAAGAAGAAAAAGAGGAGAGAUGAGAAGAAUAAAGAAGAGGAAUAAGGAAAAGAAGGAAUAAGAAG
rnacentral:lncRNA from 1 species